UACGUAGGGUGCAAGCGUUGUCCGGAAUUAUUGGGCGUAAAGAGCUCGUAGGCGGUUUGUCGCGUCGAAUGUGAAAACCCGGGGCUCAACCCCGGGCCUGCAUUCGAUACUGGCAGGCUAGAGUUCGGUAGGGGAGUCUGGAAUUCCUGGUGUAGCGGUGAAAUGCGCAGAUAUCAGGAGGAACACCUGUGGCGAAGGCGGGACUCUGGGCCGAUACUGACGCUGAGGAGCGAAAGCGUGGGGAGCAAACAGG
rnacentral:rRNA from 1 species